UAAUGAAUAUGUUUCAUUCUUUUGACAAAUAUAAUUUUUAUGGUUAAUAGAUUAAUUAUCAUAUAUAAGCAUAUAAGAAAACAAAUGAUACAUUUCUCCACAAUGGCUCUAAAAUUUGCACUCUAUUUUCUGCUUUACAUUAGAAGUUUUUUCAAAUUAUAACCCCAUAAAAGAACUGUCUUUAAUUUCUUCUCUGUGACGUAGAUUAAAUUCUUUAGAAAGAGGAUAUUUCAAACCACUAGUUAGUUUUGUUAUAUUAAAGUUCUCAGAUUUUGUAGAGUGUUGAUUUUAUACACAUUCUUAACCUUUACUUACGGAAAAUAAUGAUUUACUGUAGUAGGGAAUGUAGGAAUUUCUUGGAGAAACAAAUUUUUAGGAGGAAAUUUUUGACAUGUGAAAUCUUAAAAUACUGUCUCUUAAACAGGUAGACAGAGACAGACAGUACCUUUUGUGAGUGCUUUGUUCCCUCCUCUACCAGGAACUGGAGCAGGAUGUCAACAUUCUCUAUGAAAAUUAUCGAAGAUAUGCCACUAUCAUUUUCAUUUCUUACUCUAGAUCUAAAAUGAGCUAGUGUCUGUUGGGGCUCAUGGCAGGCCACCCCCAAAAUAUGCCACAAUAGCAUAUUGAUUAUUUUGAAUUAAAGUUACUUAAGAAAUAGCCAGUGCAAGAGGGACAUAGAACCUCCUUUCUGUCUCACUGAAGCAGAAAGUAAGUCUUGUGAAAGGUGCACUCCCUCCAUCUGCAGAUAGAAGGGCACCCUUAUUGCCAGAGAUAGGGAAUUUGAACCAAGAAGUCUGUAUAAACAAACCUUGUUACUUCUUUAAUUUACUACCCCAAGUACAAACUGUGUUUAGAUUCUUCACUAAUUAAGCACCCAGAACCUUAAGUUGCUUUGUCCUGUCAACUCUCAAAUUUAUUGUUUUUAUUUUUCAUCUACAAAGUAUAAAAGUUGCCUGUUUUGACCACUUUUUAGGUUCCAUUUCUAUGAGACCUCAAGUGUGCACAAAUUAAAAUUUGUUUCUUUUUCUUCUGUUAAUCUGUCUUGUGUCAAUUUUAGUAUUAGUCCAGACAAAGAACUCAAGAAGAGUACAGGUGGAAAUUUUUUCCUCCAUGACAUACCCAACUGUGCCAGAUAGGGAGUUAAAUAAAUUUGUGCUGAGGGAAAGCAUUUGAAAUCUUUCUUUUUUUUUUAAUUUUACAUUUUCCUUCCCUAUUUUCUUUUUUUAAGGGAGGUGGUAAUUAGGUUUAUUUAUUUUCACAGAGGUACUGGGGAUUGAACCCAGAACCUUGUGCAUUCUAAGCACGCACUCUACCACUGAGCUAUACCCACACCCCACUAAAAUCAUUUCUCCAUACAGUUGACCCUUGAACAAUGCUGACCCUCCACACAGUUGAAAAUUCAUCUACAAUCGUCCCUUAGUAUCCAUGGAAAGUUGGUCUAGGAAGCGUGCAGAUACCAAAAUCCAAGGAUUCUCAAGUCCCAUAGUUGGCCCUCAGUAUCCACAGUAUCCAUGCAUUCAGCCAAGCAGAUUGAGUAGUACUGUAUUUAUGGAAAAAAAAUCCCUGUUUAAGUGGACCUGUCCAGUUCAAAUCUGUGUUCUUCAAGGGCCAACUAGCUGUAUACUUAAAUGUUUUUCCACUGCCCAAAUCACUUACAUUCUUACACUUAGAUUUUUUUAGGUUAUGCCCUUUCUACCCUUUUGGAUACUUUGCCUAUAUUAUAUCCUUUUGAAAAUAGACUUUAAAUGUGUGCAUAUUACUCAGCCAUCUCCCCCUUAAGUAAUUUGGAUGGUAUUUGAGUCUUUUUUUUUUUUUUUUUAACAGAGAGGGCCACUGGGUUUACCUAAAUUUUAAAAUACCCUCACCACAGGGUAUCUAAUGUUACAUAAUCCCGCCCCCCACCUUUCUUGUUUCUCUCAUUCCUCACUAAUGUGAUUAUAAUCUUUAGAAAUGCUGUGUGUUUGACAGUACAUUUCCACAUUUGUGUACGUUAAUAUACUGCUAGGGUUUGACUCACUGAAGCAGGUACGCGUGUCAGUGUUUGGACUCAUUCGCCUUGGGUACUUUGGAGUCAGCUGCAAAAUUAUAUUGGUAGACUUUGCAUAAACAUAACUAUUGGCAUGAGAACUUCCACAGUAAAUCAUUUUUAAUAUGUUCCCUAAGAAUCUGAGGGAAAAUCUUGGGGGGAAAUCUAUGAAAAUGACCAGUAUUUGUUAAAAUAUGUUGUUAUACUUUCCUUAAGAAGAAGAAAAGCCUACAGUUAGUUUAGUAAACACUUGAGUAACUGUUGUAUUCCAGGCACUAUAUUGAGUGUUUGAAGCACAAAGAUAAGUUAGAAAGUGCUUGCCUUCGAAAAUGUCCAGUGGCAGAGCCAGAAACAGAUUAUUGUAGCAUAAUAUUUAAAAAAAUUAUACAGGGUACUAGGCUGGCAUGGUGUUCAGUAUUGCUCAUAUGUGAGAUGGAAAUUGGCAGGAGGAGAAUUUGGAAAGUUUGCAGAAGCAGGGAUAAUAGGGGGCCCUACAUACUUUCGUAGGUAACUUGGGCCUAAUUUAUGUUCCUUAGUAUGCCAAGGCUUGUAGUGUGAUCCGUUUUGGAUUCUGUAUAAAUCAUUGGCUAAAAAUUAAGAGAAUAGAUUUAAGGAGAGGGACGAAGAUUGGAAUCAGAGGCAUAGAGUUUAAACUAACAGGGAUAAAGAAAGGACAAAUUCAGGAAAUAUUUAGAAGAUUAAAUCACAGGACUUCAUUGGUUUGAGUGAGAACAAGAACUUUAGUUUGAUGUGUAUGUGUGUGUGUGUGUGACUAGAUGACAAUACCAUUAAUUGUCAUCAAAUAUAAGAAGGGGAAAAUGUAUAUGUAGGCAGAUGGUAGAUGGCAAAAUUUCAAUCUGAAACUCAAGAAAGUGCCUGGAGAUGGAAAUUUGGGAAUGAUCAUCAUCCAGUGACUUUUUUUUUUUUUUUUUUGCAUUAGAACAUUCGAUUAGAAUAAUGAUCCUAUAUUACAUCACUCAAGAGGAGGGGAAAAAAGAGCAUUGGACCAAGGAAGGAAUCUUAGAGAAUAAUCAUUUAGUGGGGUGAUGGAGCAGGGUCCGAAGUAAGAGGAAACCAGAACAGUUGGUAUGCUUUUCUUCAAGAGCAAUGUGGUACUGUUACCCGCAUUUCACUCGUAAGGAGAGUGAAGCCCAGGAUGGUUGGGUAGAUGGCCCAUGUCCAUGUAACUGAUAAGCAGGGGAGCUAGAAUCAAACCCAGGCCAUCUGGCUCCAGAGCUCAGUAACCAGCAAUUCCAGAUGCUAGAGAUUUAACAAACCAAGGCUUAAAAAUAUGCGUUACCCUGACCUUUUCAAGAGUACUUUCAGAUAAAUACUAAAGCCAGUUUUCUGGAGUUUGAGGGGAGAAAAUUUAGACUAGUUCUGGAAGCUUCACUGAGAUGGGAAAGAGUAAAAUAGCAAUAUAAAACUUAGUGGGGUGAAGUGUUGUAUUGUGAAAGGUUACAAAAAGCCAAGGAAGUUUUUGACAAAAUGUAGUAGUUGAAUAGCUUUAAGAACCUUAAAGUGUCAACUGCAGAAUUCUUAAGGAAUUCAAAGCAAAACUAUCUAGCCAUCACUGUAUCUGAAUGCUAUUUUUCAUGAGGCAUUUACAAGAUGCUUGGGAUAUAUCAGGUUUUCUUGGGGAAAGGUAUAAAAUUACCAUCAAAUCCUCAGAGCUGAUAGGUUUACUCCCAGUUUUACAUAGCUUCCAGCACUUACCAAGGCCUUAGCCAGCACCAUCUCUAAUGUCUCCUAAGACUUACCUGCUUCAGAAUCCUUUCUCUCUCAAUAGAGACCAGUUGCAUGGUGUAGAAGACCAAUCACAACUCAACUACACCAAUGUGAAAUUACAGAGAAACUUGUUUCAUUCUAAAUAAUCCUCAGUGAUCAGAAAUUAAUGAAAAAAUUCAAAUGAAACAAGUGGAAACUGAACCCUUAACGUAAAGGGAUGAGUGAGGGCUUUUCUGUAAUCUUACUUACAAUGAUGAUGACCUGUAACAGUUUAAAAUUGUGUGGGGCUGUUCUCUAUCAGUUAACUUCUUACUCAGUUAUUAAAGUGCUUGCUAUGGAAAAAAGAAAAGUAACGGGAAACGUGCUUCCCCUCGGAGCACUUGCCCUGUUACAACCUCGGGCAAUGAAAUGUGUACAUGUAUUAAAAUUUGAAAGCUAUUUUCAAGAAAUAGUUGCCUAACAAUUCAUUUAGAGCACCUAGAGGCUAGUGAUGUGAAUUCAGAACUCUGGUACACCAGCCCUGUGACUUUGAGCAAGUUAGUUAUUUAACCUAGCUAACUCAUUAUCUUCCAUUCUGGAAAACGAGGAUAGCAAGUCCCGCCUGCAUAGAAUAGCUGUGUGGAUUAAGUGUGAUAAUCUGUGUAAAGUGCCUACCACAGUGUAGGGUACAUAAUAUGAACUCAGUGUUUACCUAUUAUCAAUACAGAAGUAAUUAAUACUCAGGAACAUCUUAAACAGAACCUAAGGGAGAAUCUCUCUCUUUCCUUCCUGGUUCAAGUUUGGAACAAAUGUUUCAAAGAAGUAUGUGACAUUCAGUUCUCUAUUCUGCAACUUCAAAAUAGCCUAAAAUAUCCCAAUUGCCUACACAUGCAGAAUCUAUAAUGGACAGUCUGCUAUGCAUUCUUUUGAAUUCUCAUUUUUGUCAAACAAGAGACUCUUUCCCAAUGUAUUUAGUGUGUGUAGAACAGAGAAGCCUUGUAACCAUUGUCAAGGACAACCAAGGGAGUGAGUUGAAGGUUAGGAGCUUGUUGCUCAUCAGCUCAUGUUACAGAAUUCUUUUUAUAUCUUUUGAAUGUUCCUUCUAGUUGGGCAUUUUUUUUCCCAUCAAAAUCAAGCUAAAAUAAGAAGGUAGAGUGAUGCUUGUGGUUUAAUGUUUUUCCAAAAUAGAAUAAGCAAGAAUACACAGUCAUUGCAAGGGAUAUGCUGCUUGAAUGGAUUGCUUUAAGCAAAGGAAUAAAUUUUCUAUCCUAAUCUUCCACCAGUACUCUUUCCUAAAACUAGCUGAGAAAGUAAGUUUUCCCACUUUAUGUGGGAAAUACACACACACACACACACAUAUAUAUGUAUACCCAAAUGCAUCCCACAUCUUCCUCUUCUGAAUUGCCCUAGAAUGUAAAACCCUCUAGGUACCAAUCACUGAGAUCAUUCAAAGUACUGGUUCAAGGAGGCUUCCUUUAAAAAUCUAUUCAAAGCAUUCUAGCCCUUUAAGUCCCUUUUUACUUACUUCCCUUAAGGAUCAAAUUGACCCAUCUAGGGACACUCUGAGUUUAGAGCAACCAAAAGAGUAUUGGUUAAUUAUAUGGAUUCUUUUAAAUAUAUAACUAGACCAUUUUAUAACAUUGAAUUAAAACUCAUGGAUAAAAUGUUAAAUGACUUCUUUUCAGAUUCAGAGGUUUUUAUGCAAUAAGAUACGUAGAAUUGAUUUUAUCAAAUCAUGUCAUGAGAUGUUCUCAUCACAUUCAGUGCUCAUUUCAUUUUACAGAAAAAAAUAAACAUUUAAAUUUGUUAUAAAAAAUUUUGUAUAUAGACUUUAAAGUUUGCAGGUGAGCAGAAAGGCUCGGUAAAUGUCUUCAUGUAUGUCUAAGGAAUACUUCAUUCCUAACGCAUUGUCCUGGACCAGAGAGAGCUCUCUCUGUAUAUUAUACACCAGACAAGUCCCUUUUUGAGGAUAUAAUUUCUACUAUCUUUGGAGUGUAUAGAACACAACUUUGAAGUUGUUUUAGCUAUAGAAAAAAUAAAAGUGAUGGCGUGAUGUACUGGAAAGAGGACUAUAUCAGGAGCUUAAAAAGCUGGUUCUGCUAAUAACUGAUUCUUCAGUUUCAUUAAGUGAUUAUUAAAGUGUGACUAUGUGUUCUUCUGUAGUCAUUCUUAGGAAUUUUCUGCAAGGGGGCAUUUGUCACCAUUGUUCACCUUGCCUCAAUUAAGGAGGGUCCAUACCAUUCUUUUAAAAUUACUAUUAUUUAAUUUUUGAAUAGGCAAUACAUGGCUCAAAAUUCAAAAUGUAGAAAAAAAUUAUUCAAAGAAAUCUCCUUAUUUUUGACUGUCAGUCACACAGCUUUGCUGUCACAGACAUCUAAUUUGUUAGGGGUGUGCCUGCAUGUGCGUGUGUGUGUGUGUGUGUAUGUUCAUGUGUCCUUUUUCAGAGACAUUUUAAGCAUGUAGAGAGAAUAAAUAUAUUCAUUCUUUCCCACCAUUUGUACACAAACGAUGGCAUGCAGUCCAUACCACUUUUCACCUGGAUUUUUAUUUAACGUUUAUUUUGGAGACCUUUCUAUAUCAAUCCACAGAGAGUUUCUUUUUUUAUUUUUUUAAACAUCUGAAUGGUAUUAUAUUGUAUAGAUAUAACCAUUUAUUUAACCAGGGCUUUAUUAAUGGAUACUGAAUUAUUUCCAGUUGUUUCCUAUCCCAAACAAUACUGUUGUGAAAAACCAUGUUCACUUUGUAUUUCUCUUGUGUCAAGUAUAUCUUGAGAGGUCACAAGCAUGAGCCUGGAUUCUGGAGACAGUACUGCUGGGGUUUGAAGUCUGGCUGCACCACUUACUAGCUGUGUAUUCUUGAGCCUGUUACUUAACUUCUCUGUGCCUCAAGUGUCUCAUCAGUAAGAACUCAGACUAUUGUGAAAAUUCAAUAAAUCUCCCUAUGUAGACUACUUGGAAAGGUGCCUGACAAACAGUAAAUGCUGUAAGUACUAGUUGCUGCUACUACUGCUAUUAUUAUCAUCAAUAUCUUUAGGAUACAUUUCCGGUUAUGGAACUAAUAAAUCAAAGAUAAAAUACAUUUAUAGUUUUGAUACAUAUUGCCAAAAUGGUCUUCAGUCGAGACUCCACAAAUUUACAUUGCCAGCAGUGAUGUGUGAAUAGAAUGUCUAUUUCCCCACAUUCAUACCAAGAAAGUACUUAAAAUUUUUUAAUCUGAUGAGUGAAAACUGUUAUCACAGUGUAGUUUCAAGUUACAUAUCAUUUUAAGUGAUGGGAGGGUAACAUGGUUUCAUGAGUCUUUUGGAUUUCCUUUGGUGUGAAAUACAUGCUUAAUUCCUUUGCCCAUUUUAUUUGAAACCAGGAUUUUGAAUUUGUCAUAUGAAUUUGGAGCUCUUUAUAUAUUAAAUAAAUUAGCUCUGUGUUAGUGAUAGGACUUGCAGAUAUUCUAAAAUAGUCUUUAUCUUUUGACCUAGCUUUUGGUGGAUGAGCCACUCAUAAUUUUUAUUUAUUUAUUUUUUACAGAGCUGAUUUGAUCAAUCUUCUCUUUUAAGGAUUCUGGAUACUAUGCCAUAUUUAGAAAGUCAACUUUUGUGAAUGUUUUAUUGAAGAAGAUACAACUCAAGAUUUAUUUCUGUUUUUGGAGGACAGAGUUAAUAAGUAUAUGUAUCAAUUUUUAGCAUCAUGGUUUAGAGUACAGACUCUGGAACUAGACCAACAGGAUCCAAAUCCCAGAUUCAUUACUGGAAUGUUAUGCAAAUUGCUUAUAUUUUCUAUGCCUCAGUUUCCUCAUCUGUAAAUGGCUAUAAUGAUAACAUCUGUCUCUUAGGGUUGAUGCAGGGAUUAAAUGAACUAAUAUGUGCAAAGCAUUUAGAAUAGUAUCUAGAAUGAAAUAAGCACCGUAUAUAUAUUAGCAGUUAUAAUUAUUUAGAUUGACCUGGUUAAUUUUUUAGUUCCUCUAGAGCAGCACUAUUUAAAUUAAAUAUAGCACAGUCACAUAUGCAAUUUAAAGUUUUAUGGUAGCUAUGUUAAGAAAGUGAAAAAGUCAUUUUUAAUGGUAUAUUUUAUUUAACCCAUUAUAUCAACAAUGUUAUCAAUAUGUAAUCAAUAUACAGAAUUUUUUAAUGACAUAUUUUUCUUUCUUUGUUGUGCACUAUCUUUGAAAUCUGGCAUGUUUUGUAGCUAUAGCAUACUUCAGUUUGGACUAACCACAUUUCAAGUGCUCAAUAGUCAUAUGUGGUCAGUGGCUACUAUACCGAUGACAAAUUCUAGCUACUUUUUUUGUGUGUACUUAGUGCUUGGUAUAUCAUGAGCUGAGUAGGUGAAAAUAAAUAUCUUAUACCAUUCA